GUCACUGCUAUCAGUGUUCGACUAAGCCAUACAAGUCAAAUGUUCUUCGUGAACAUGGCGGACUGCUCAGUAACACGUGGAUAACCUGCCCUUAGGAUUGCAUAACACCGGGAAACUGGUGAUAAUACCGAAUGGACCAUUUAUGCUGGAAUGCUUUUUGGUUCAAAGGCUUCGGCUGCCUAAGGAUGGAUCUGCGGCCUAUCAGGUAGUAGUGGGUGUAAUGUACCUACUAGCCUACGACGGGUACGGGUUGUGAGAGCAAGAGCCCGGAGAUGGAUUCUGAGACAUGAAUCCAGGCCCUACGGGGCGCAGCAGGCGCGAAAACUUUACGAUGCGGGAAACCGCGAUAAGGGGACACUGAGUGCCAGCAUAUUAUGUUGGCUGUCCACAUGUAUAAAAACCAUGUGUUAGCAAGGGCCGGGCAAGACCGGUGCCAGCCGCCGCGGUAACACCGGCGGCCCGAGUGGUGAUCACUCUUAUUGGGUCUAAAGGGUCCGUAGCCGGUUUGAUCAGUCCUCUGGGAAAUCUGACAGCUCAACUGUUAGGCUUCCAGGGGAUACUGUCAGACUUGGGACCGGGAGAGGUAAGAGGUACUACAGGGGUAGGAGUGAAAUCUUGUAAUCCCUGUGGGACCACCAGUGGCGAAGGCGUCUUACCAGAACGGGUCCGACGGUGAGGGACGAAAGCUGGGGGCACGAACCGGAUUAGAUACUCGGGUAGUCCCAGCCGUAAACGAUGCUCGCUAGGUGUCAGG
rnacentral:rRNA from 1 species